rnacentral:rRNA from 1 species
UACGUAGGGGGCUAGCGUUGCUCGGAAUCACUGGGCGUAAAGCGCACGUAGGCGGAUUGUUAAGUCAGGGGUGAAAUCCUGGAGCUCAACUCCAGAACUGCCUUUGAUACUGACGGUCUUGAGUCCGGGAGAGGUGAGUGGAACUCCGAGUGUAGAGGUGAAAUUCGUAGAUAUUCGGAAGAACACCAGUGGCGAAGGCGGCUCACUGGCCCGGUACUGACGCUGAGGUGCGAAAGCGUGGGGAGCAAACAGG